rnacentral:lncRNA from 1 species
GUCUGCAUUGCGCACACCAAGGAAAGGCCAUGUGAACGCACAGAGAUAAGUUGGCUGUCAGCAUGCCAGGAAGAGAGCUCUCACCAGGAACCAAAUCGGCCCACACCUUGACCUUGGACUUCCCAGCCUCCAGCCUCUAGCACUUGUUAGAAGGCCUGGAACACUGGUAUCCCCAGAGACGGGAAAGUCUAGACAGCCCCACAGAGCUGCAUGCCACCCUGACACCAAGGUCUCUCUGCCUUUUGUUAUCCUCUGAUCUGCCCCACGCUCAACCCCAGUUCAGGAGAUGCAAUCACCAACCUCCCAGGAGCAGACCAAGCCUCACCAGAGAGCUUCGCCUAUGACCUUUGCCUUAUGUUUAAUGCUAAGAUAUCUCCAGGAGGAGCUUGGGCCUUCUUACCGAAACCUGCAGUGUAUGCGGAAGCAUGUUUUUCAUCUGAGCCUCUGCGAGCGAACACCACCUGUUCCUCUUGAAUAUUCAUUCCCCAUCUGAAAUAAAAGGUCCCUGCUUCUCUUCGCUCAGGGACGCCAUGACUUUGGAAAUGAUUCCGCAUGGCCUCCUAUUUGCCGCAAAUAUACUUUACUUUGUGAGACAACUGCUUCUGGGUUGAGAGUCUGAUUUAACUCACCAGGACGGAACCCACUUUGGUUUCAG